AAAAGCCAGAUGAGAGCUUUUAGAGACCCUCUACAGGAUGACACUGGAAUGUAUGUUACUGAGGAAGUCACCUCCUCUGAAGAUAAACGAAAGACUUACUCCUUGACAUUUAAACAGGAAUUAAAAGACGUCAUCCUCUGUAUCUCUCCAGUUAUUACAUUCCGUGAACCUUUCCUUUUAACUGAAAAGGGGAUGAGGUGCUCAA
rnacentral:lncRNA from 1 species